AUACUUAACUGGCAGGGAGAUAUCAUGAUCAUGAAGGUGGUUUUCUCAGGGCAAGGCUUGUCCAUUACACUCCAGAUAUGCUGAGUCCUGUGAUUUCCCCAAAUGUGGGAAAUUCAAUUGCGUAAUUUGUGGUAGCCGGGGACUGGGUUAGCACUNNNNNNNN
ensembl:snRNA U1 U1 spliceosomal RNA